CACGCCAGCCCUGGGCUCAUGUGCAAUGGGAGACCUGCAGAGGGCUCAGGCAGGGAGGGAUUUCUUUUCUAGUAAUAAAAUCACUUCAGCUUUGGCUACUGCAUGGAAAUAGAUUGAGAGAGGCAAGGCCAGGGACGGCAGCUAGAAGGCGGAGACUGCUGUCCAGGCUGGGGGUGACAGAGCCCCUGGGGACAGAGUGAAACUCUGUCUCAGAAAAACAAAACAAAACAAAAAAGAACUUGAGCAGUGGCAGAGGGUAGAUCCCAGCAUGUGGCCCGGGGUAAGGAGAGGCGGGACCAGGGUCGAGCCAUGGGCGGCCCCUCAGAGCUGGGGUCUCAGGCCAGAGACAGUCCUUCCAGGAUAAAGGGACAUCAGAGGUUUCUGCAGGAUGCGAAGGAGGAAAGCCUGCGGGGCUCUUUGAGGCUCUGCAGAGAGAAGUCCGGAUCCAGCUGCCUCCUUCCUCAGGAAGGCUGGGGGCAGCAGGGCCCAGAGAGCCUGGUGACAUCAUUCCUUCCCACUGGUCACCUCCCUCAGUCCUGCAGGAGCUGCUGGGACAGGGGCUGGAAGCAAGCAGGGCCCCUCAGGGUGACCAGGGCCACCAAAGGUGACUGUCGGGGUCGCUGUCCAGCUGUUUCCCCUGCUGGACACUAGGCUGCGCCAAGGAGUGCGUGCUCCAAAACUCAAGAGUGCAUCCAAUGCUCCAAACGGGCAGACCAGGGAGGGGCAUACUGACCCCCAGCAAUGUUCCUGGUCCCCAAGCCCCCCACACCCUCGAGCACACCCCAGUGUCCCUCCCAGACCGUGGGCUCAGCCCUAGGAGAGCUGCUCAGGGAGCCUCCCCUGUGGGUGUUUGCUCCUCCCCAGGCUGUGGCCCAUUUCCCCUUCCUCCUUCCUGCUCAGCCCAAAGGCAGGAGUCAUGGAACCCCAGGAAAGGACGGAACAGAACAGGACAGGGCCCCCAGCCCCAUCUUUAUCUCACCGGCUGCUGCUGGCUGCCAAGCCUCCCCUGAAUGGGGGAGGGUGGUCUGUGUGAGUCAGCGGAGGCACGAAGUGGAGGAAGACGGGAGCCUCUGCCAGGCCCGUUGAGCGUGGCCUCAGAAAUGCGCCGCUGGGUUAGGGUCUCCCCGACCGAGGCUCGAAUCCAGGUCGAAGGGUCGCCGGAGCGAUGGUUGGAGAAUGUGGAAGGAGCUGGAGGACACCCGAGUAUUCUUAAAGCAAUCCCCAUGAUUUUUUGAACCUGCCCAAAGGCCAGAUGUCAUCAGCAGCUGAACAGCAUUCCAGAAACCAGCUGCAAAGACAGAAGCAGAACAACUGGUUUGGUGGAGAGAUCUGAUAACAAAAAGUUGGGAAACAGGUAAAAUAAUAACUUGGGGUAGAAGUUAUGCUUGUGUUUCUCCAGGCCAAAAUCAACAGCUGAUCUGGAUACCAUCAAGACACCUGAAAUCUUAUCAUGAGCCAGAUGCUGAGGAAGAGACUCCGGGAGGAUCCCGAGGACGGCCCAGUUGCAGCCAUGUUGAGACUGACGCUGAGGAGGACCCCAACUGUCACGAGCAACACCUGUCGAACACAGCCACCCACCUGGGGACAGAUCAAGAAGCUGUCACAGAUGGCAGAAGAAAACCUGAGGAAAGCGGGACAACCAGUCACAAUGAGUAAUUUCAUGGUAGCUAUGAUAGCAGUUAUCACCACUGCUUCUGCAGAUGUGGAUCCUAACUCCUGCGAGAAGUAACUCACAGUGACAAAGCUGCCUUUGCUUUUAUCGAGUUGCAAAUCAAAGAAGGGGGGACAUGUUGGGAACAGGCCCCCCAAGAUCUGGCCAUAAACUGGCCCCAAAACUGGCUAUAAACAAAAUCUGCAGCACUGUG
rnacentral:lncRNA from 1 species